rnacentral:misc_RNA from 1 species
GAUGAAGAACGCAGUGAAAUGCGAUACGUAAUGUGAAUUGCAGAAUUCAGUGAAUCAUCGAAUCUUUGAACGCAUAUUGCGCUCUCUGGUAUUCCGGAGAGCAUGCUUGUUUGAGUAUCAGUAAACACCUCAACUCCCUUUUCUUUUUUGAAAUUGGAGCUGGACUUGAGUGAUCCCAACGCUUUCUUCCAAGAAAGUGGCGGGUUGCUUGAAAUGCAGGUGCAGCUGAACUUUUCUCUGAGCUAUAAGCAUAUCUAUUUAGUCUGCCUAAAAAACAGAUUAUUACCUUUGCUGCAGCUAACAUAAAGGAGACUAGCUCUUGUGCUGACUGAUGCAGGAUUCACAGAGACAGCUUCGGCUGACUUUGUAAACUCGAUCUCAAAUCAAGUAAGACUACCCGCUGAACUUAAGCAUAUCAAUAAGCGGAGGA